AGAUGCUGUCUUUUGCAGUCCUCCGAGAGGUUAGGGAUGUGGGAGGUCCCUGGGGGCCAUCUCUUACAAGACACAGUUUCCACUAAAUUGGAUCGUAUUUGUACAUCUCUACACCUGUGCGUGAUAGUAAACUUUUGCACCCAAAUACCCCGACCCCUGAAGGAGAGUGUGAGUUAAAAGGAUCUGAAGAACGGACCCUUUGUUUAAGCCUUCUCCGCUGGUGGUAUACUUACGAGGACCAGAGGUGAGGUGUCAGCAAGGAGGCCCACAGGUGGAAAGUGCUUUGGGCCAAUGGUACACACCUGCUUUAUUGGAUAGACGCAGAGAAGUAUGCCUGGUCACAGCCAGAGCUUACUCGGUCAAGAAAUUAUGAGCUCCCCAGAAGUCUCUUGUAUGCUGUCUCCUAGUUGUGAGCACCUUUUACCAAAGAUGGUCUGAGAGUACCUGUGCUGAAAUGGAAUUGUCUUUGAGUGGACACUUCUUAGAUGAGACCUAUUGUGGCCAAUAGCUCCUGAGGAACUGAAGCCUUCAGUUCAAAACUUGUGUGAGAAAAAUGAAUCUUGCCAACUACUGGAGUGAGCUUAGAAAUGAAUCCAUCCCCAGUUGACCCUUGAAUGUAGCCUUGUCAGAGACCCAGAGACAAAGCAUCCUGCUAAUCUGCACUGGGUUCUAGGCCCACAGAAACCAUGGGAUAAUAACUUUGUGUUGCUAUAAGCCACUGAAAACAAACAAAUAAAAUACUUAAGAUGUUCCCCUGUGGAAGGGUUCCAUUGCCAGGGAUCUGCACUUCACAACCAAAGGGAUUAAAGAGAAUUGCCUUCUUCAGAUUUCAGACUGUGGCCUGCUUCUGGUUUUUCUUUCUAUAUUCAUAUAUAUGUUUGUUUAAAUCAUCCUACUUUUGGAGCAGGAAAAGUUACUAUUACAGUUUAUACAAAGGGAAGAAAUCUGGUACAUGCUAAAGUUAUUCAUCUGUAACUACCUGACGAGCCCAAUUAGUUGCUUGCUCCUAUGGAUUCUGAGCCUAAAAUCCCUUCAACAGAUCUUUGACCUUUUCUAAGUUAAGUUUUUGGAAGUAUCCUAUUUGUUCACUUACUUGGGCCAGAGACUAUAGAGAUUAAGAGAAAGUUUGAUAUUUGACCCUAAUUUUAGGCUAAAACAAUUUAGAUGGAAAGAACAGACACAAUUCAAUUUAACCAUCUUCAACUGCUGUGCUUUAGAAAGCUGGGAGUGUGGAGAAUGGAGUAGGUGUACAGAAAAAUAAGAACAGUUCUGUUCUUCAGGGCUUGAUAAAGGCUGCUGUGAGUUGGAUGGACAAUAAUUACUACUGACUAGGUCUAGCUGGGAUAGUUAGGGGAGACUUUCUGAAAGAGGCAACACAUGAGCUGGGUUCUAAAUCUCAAAUAGGAUUUGAUGGCUGAAGAUGAGGGUAAUAAAACAAGAGAAACAAGUACAUUCCAGAUAGAAAGAAUAGUAUAAGCCAAGAAAAACCUAUUCCAGGGCAGCAGGGAAGAGUCUGAAGUGGCAAAACAAAGUAGGAGGCAAAGCUGUCAAUAUAAGUAACUUGGUAGAGAAACAUUAGGAGUUUGGAUUUUAUCCCAUUGACUAGGAGGAUUUAAAAACAGAAAAUGCUCACAGGGGCCAGGCAAGUUAUGAGUAAAUAAAAGGUCCAGGUGUAAGUGCAACAGGGCCCAUGGACAUAGGAAUGGGGGAUGUGAAAAACCAACCUUUGCUAACAGUGAGUUCUACUAUGCAGUUUUAGCUGAUUAUAGCCAGACUCGAAAGCAACCUUUGUAGGGUUGACAGUUCUUGUGAUUGUUCAAGAAAAAAAUUUAUGUAAAAUCUACUGACUUGAAAAUACUAGAUUAAUUUAUUUAAUGUUAUAGAGCUCAAAUAAAACACAUUUGUCUUAUUUAUA
rnacentral:lncRNA from 1 species